rnacentral:rRNA from 1 species
AUGAACGCUGACAGAAUGCUUAACCCAUGCAAGUCUCCUUGAAUUUGGGUUUUUUAACUUAGAUUUGGGUGGCGGACGGGUGAGUAACGCGUAAAGAACUUGCCUCACAGUUAGGGACAACAUUUGGAAACGAAUGCUAAUACCUGAUAUUAUGAAUAUAUGGCAUCAUAUAAUUAUGAAAGCUAUAAGCGCUGUGAGAGAGCUUUGCGUCCCAUUAGCUAGUUGGAGAGGUAACGGCUCACCAAGGCGAUGAUGGGUAGCCGGCCUGAGAGGGUGAACGGCCACAAGGGGACUGAGACACGGCCCUUACUCCUACGGGAGGCAGCAGUGGGGAAUAUUGGACAAUGGACCAAGAGUCUGAUCCAGCAAUUCUGUGUGCACGAUGACGUUUUUCGGAAUGUAAAGUGCUUUCAGUUGGGAAGAAAAAAAUGACGGUACCAACAGAAGAAGUGACGGCUAAAUACGUG